rnacentral:tRNA from 1 species
CAUUAAGUGGCUGAAAGUAAGCAUUGGUCUCUUAAACCAAUAUAUGGUAAAUAACAAAUACCCUUAAUG